CUAGUUCAAUUAAAAAAAUUCGACCAUAGCUUGAUAGUUCAAUAAGAAACAAGAAAAUAAAAGUGGAUAAUUAAUCUUAUCCCUGUAAUGUCAAGAUCUUGAUAAACUUGGGUCCAUGUCCUUGAACUAUAAACUCAUGUACUUUUGAACUUGCCUCCUAAAAUUUGCCUCAAUCUUUUUAUAAAAAGGUUAAGAUUAUAGAGAAUAACUCAUGCCAGCUGGAUCUUAUGUUCAGUUCACUUACUGUUGCAUACUUGUAUUCUUGUUCAUCUGGUUUGGAUGAGUCCAUCACACUUUGCUAGCUAUAGUGGUAAAGUAAACCAGGGCCAAUUUGAUUACAUAUAUAUAGUUUGAAUUUGACUUUGAUGGUACUUGUCUUCGGUUUUAUCGCUGUUAUCAUGAGUGGUUAAUAUUUUUCAUGUUCUCAGUUUCACAUUUCUUAAUUUAAUCUUCAUGUUCUUACACGUAGGUAGUAAUCCCACCAGACGGCUAUUUGAAAGCUGUCAGAGACUUGUGUUCGAGGCACAACAUUUUGAUGAUUGCUGAUGAGAUCCAAACAGGCAUAGCUAGUGGCAAAAUGUUGGCAUGCGAUUGGGAAGGCAUACGGCCUGAUAUGGUGAUUCUAGGCAAAGCACUUGGUGCUGGAGUUGUUCCAGUCAGUGCAGUUCUUGCAGAUAAGGACAUCAUGUUGUGUAUCAAACCAGGGGAACAUGGAAAGUAGGAGCAGAUCUCAAUACUUUACUUUUGGUUCAUUAUAAAAAAAAGUUUAUUGGCAAACUAAUUCAUUUCAUCAAUGUCUAAAUGAUGGCAAACUUAUUUGUGCUAUGUUUAAGAAAAAUUCAGUUCUAUCUUCAGUUGUUCGAAUAUAAUUUCUGUGUUACUUCUAUAUAACAAUUUUGUAUGUAUGUGCUGUUCCUGAAAUAUGUUAUGUUUGACAACUUGCAGUACAUUUGGUGGGAACCCGUUGGCUAGUGCUGUGGCAGUUGCAUCACUGAAAGUGAGCUGCAAAGCUAGGACAGGAGUUCAGGGAUCAGUUACAAAAGAUCCAGCAGAAGUUCCCUCAAAUCGUAAGGGAGGUGCGUGGGAAGGGUUUGCUGAAUGCAGUGGACUUAAAAGAUGUCGCCCUACCUCCUGCGUCUGUAUAUGAUAUUUGCAUCAAGUUGAAGGAGAGAGGCAUUCUAGCAAAACCCACACACAACACUAUAAUUCGAUUGGCCCCUCCCCUUUCAAUCUGGUAUAGCCCUUUGCCAAUGCAUCGUCAUACCUCGUUCUUUAGUUGUUCAUAGGUUUGCCUGUACUAGUAGCAUCACAAGUCUGGAGCUGUGAAGUGUCUAUAAGCUGACCUCUAAAAUGGUAUGAUUUUCAGUCCUGAGGAGCUUGCAGAAGUUUCAAAGGCGCUCAGUGAUGUCCUGGAGCUUGACUUGCCACAGGUGCAGAAGCAGAUCGAGAAGCCAGAAUCAAAGGCAGAGAAAUCAGUUUGUGACAGAUGUGGCCGAGACUUGUACGUAUGAGUGAUGCAUCCAAACAAUAAUAAUAGAAACAGGGAAGUCUCGCUGUUUGUAGCUCACUGUAGAGUGCUGCAUCUUGCUGCAAUGUACAUUCAAGGAAUGUGCUUUUUUUCUCACUUUGAUUAAUCGUUAAUAAAAGAAGUAGCUAGCAUUCACCUUCACCGUGACUCACAAUCAAGCCAUACGAAUUUUUAUUCUGAUGAAAUUGGUCGAUAUAUAU